rnacentral:lncRNA from 1 species
AACCAUCAGGGUUAUUGAUGCUUGGAUCUUGUUUCUAAUUGUGUUUUUUUAUCACGUCAUGUGUUAUUUGAUGAAUUUUCUUUUCCAUUUAACAAGGCCCAUGCUGCUCCUGCUCCAAACCAUUCUCCGUCGUCAGACCUGCCUAUCAUCCUCUCUGGCCCAAGUUUGUCUUCUUGCAGCCCAUGCUUUUUAGUGUCGCAACCUCUACCUAGUCCCUCUUCUCCAGCACAUGACCUUCCCACCACCACAACAACUCGUGCUUCCAGCCUCGUCCAGUCCAUCUUUGCAAUCACCCAUGUCGCACCUGCUCCUGCGCCCACCUCCCCUGCCGUGCCCACUGAUCC